GAUGAACGCUAGCGGCAGGCUUAAUACAUGCAAGUCGAGGGGCAGCGGGGGGUAGCAAUACCUGCCGGCGACCGGCAAACGGGUGCGGAACACGUACACAACCUUCCUUUUGGUGGGGAAUAGCCCAGAGAAAUUUGGAUUAAUACCCUAUAGUAUGAUACUGAAGCAUUUUUGGUAUCAUUAAAGAUUUAUCGCCGGAAGAUGGGGUGUGCGUCUGAUUAGGUAGUUGGUUGGGGUAACGCCCACAAGCCUGCGAUCAGUAACUGGUGUGAGAGCACGACCAGUCACACGGGCACU
rnacentral:rRNA from 1 species